UACGUAGGGCGCGAGCGUUGUCCGGAAUUAUUGGGCGUAAAGAGCUCGUAGGCGGCCUGUUGCGUCCGCUGUGAAAGCCCGGGGCUUAACCCCGGGUCGGCAGUGGAUACGGGCAGGCUAGAGGUAGGUAGGGGAGACUGGAAUUCCUGGUGUAGCGGUGAAAUGCGCAGAUAUCAGGAGGAACACCGGUGGCGAAGGCGGGUCUCUGGGCCGAUACUGACGCUGAGGAGCGAAAGCGUGGGGAGCGAACAGG
rnacentral:rRNA from 1 species